rnacentral:lncRNA from 1 species
CGUGGGGCAGUCUGCAAAGCGAGGCCUUCUCUCCUGGGAGUGCCCGUCCGUAACCACUAGUGGGAACCUCUAGCGGCACAGACCUUAGCGGGAACCAAGGAAGAGGCGCCUGCACUUCCCACCAUAGCCACUGGGUGUCGCUGCAGCCGCGCGGCUGAGCCGGCCCAGGCCGUCGGGAGGCGGGGGCGCGGGUCCAAAGGAGCUGGAUGACCCGAGCCCACCGCCGCCUUCGUCCCCGAAGCAUCCUCCGUGCUUGUUUGUGGCCUGCAGAACCUUCCUCCACCCGCCUGGUCUCUAGAGGCCUCCACCCGGCCCACAGGCUCGCAGCGAAGAGCAAAUCAACCCCCUUGCCCCGCGACGGAUGGGCUCAUUGCUGUGGCCCCGAGCGAGCCUCCUUCGGCAGGCCAGAGGAUAGACGACGCUUCCUCGGCUGCCUUGGCGGGGCCGGAUGUGCUGAAAGUCAGGCCUCCGGAGCUCGCCCCCUGGCAAAGCCGGCAGGCUUUUCCGCCGCAGAGCCGGAGGCGGCUCCCUCGAGCCCGGCGACCGCAUCUCCCCAACUGCUCGGCUGGCGCCGGUCACUGCCACUGACUGCACACGGGCCGGAUUGUUCCCCGGCGAGAAGGGGGAGGAAGAGCGAGCGGAUCUUGCAUUGCUGA